AUUGAACGCUGGCGGCAUGCCUAACACAUGCAAGUCGAACGGGGCAGCAAUGCCUAGUGGCGGACGGGUGAGGAAUACGUAGGAAUCUGCCCUUAAGUGGGGGAUAACCAGGGGAAACCCUGACUAAUACCGCAUGAUCUCUUAGGAGCAAAGAGGGGGACCGCAAGGCCUCUCGCUUCUGGAUGAGCCUACGUCUGAUUAGCUAGUUGGUAGGGUAAAGGCCUACCAAGGCGACGAUCAGUAACUGGUCUGAGAGGAUGAUCAGUCACACCGGAACUGAGACACGGUCCGGACUCCUACGGGAGGCAGCAGUGGGGAAUAUUGGACAAUGGGCGCAAGCCUGAUCCAGCAAUGCCGCGUGUGUUAAGAAGGCCUUCGGGUUGUAAAGCACUUUAGCCUGGGAAGAAAAAACUUUGGUUGACACCCAAAGUCUUGACGGUACCAGGAGAAUAAGCACCGGCUAACUCUGUGCCAGCCGCCGCGGUAAAAC
rnacentral:rRNA from 1 species